GACGAACGCUUGCGGCGUGCUUAACACAUGCAAGUCGAACGGAAAGGCCCUGCUUUUGUGGGGUGCUCGAGUGGCGAACGGGUGAGUAACACGUGAGUAACCUGCCCUUGACUUUGGGAUAACUUCAGGAAACUGGGGCUAAUACCGGAUAGGAGCUCCUGCUGCAUGGUGGGGGUUGGAAAGUUUCGGCGGUUGGGGAUGGACUCGCGGCUUAUCAGCUUGUUGGUGGGGUAGUGGCUUACCAAGGCUUUGACGGGUAGCCGGCCGGAGAGGGUGACCGGCCACAUUGGGACUGAGAUACGGCCCAGACUCCUACGGGGGGCAGCAGUGGGGAAUAUUGCACAAUGGGCGGAAGCCUGAUGCAGCAACGCCGCGUGCGGGAUGACGGCCUUCGGGUUGUAAACCGCUUUCGCCUGUGACGAAGCGUGAGUGACGGUAAUGGGUAAAGAAGCACCGGCUAACUACGUGCCAGCAGCCGCGGUGAUACGUAGGGUGCGAGCGUUGUCCGGAUUUAUUGGGCGUAAAGGGCUCGUAGGUGGUUGAUCGCGUCGGAAGUGUAAUCUUGGGGCUUAACCCUGAGCGUGCUUUCGAUACGGGUUGACUUGAGGAAGGUAGGGGAGAAUGGAAUUCCUGGUGGAGCGGUGGAAUGCGCAGAUAUCAGGAGGAACACCAGUGGCGAAGGCGGUUCUCUGGGCCUUUCCUGACGCUGAGGAGCGAAAGCGUGGGGAGCGAACAGGCUUAGAUACCCUGGUAGUCCACGCUGUAAACGGUGGGUACUAGGUGUGGGGUCCAUUCCACGGGUUCCGUGCCGUAGCUAACGCUUUAAGUACCCCGCCUGGGGAGUACGGCCGCAAGGCUAAAACUCAAAGGAAUUGAUGGGGCCCCGCACAAGCGGCGGAGCAUGCGGAUUAAUUCGAUGCAACGCGUAGAACCUUACCUGGGUUUGACAUGGAUCGGGAGUGCUCAGAGAUGGGUGUGCCUCUUUUGGGGUCGGUUCACAGGUGGUGCAUGGCUGUCGUCAGCUCGUGUCGUGAGAUGUUGGGUUAAGUCCCGCAACGAGCGCAACCCUUGUUCACUGUUGCCAGCACGUUAUGGUGGGGACUCAGUGGAGACCGCCGGGGUCAACUCGGAGGAAGGUGGGGAUGACGUCAAGUCAUCAUGCCCCUUAUGUCCAGGGCUUCACGCAUGCUACAAUGGCUGGUACAGAGAGUGGCGAGCCUGUGAGGGUGAGCGAAUCUCGGAAAGCCGGUCUCAGUUCGGAUUGGGGUCUGCAACUCGACCUCAUGAAGUCGGAGUCGCUAGUAAUCGCAGAUCAGCAACGCUGCGGUGAAUACGUUCCCGGGGCU
rnacentral:rRNA from 1 species